rnacentral:tRNA from 1 species
GAGGGUGCAGCUCAGUGGUAGAGUGCGUGCUCAUCACGCAGGAGGGCCUGGAUUCAAUCCCCAGCACCUUCA